AUUUAUAUAGUUUAAUUAAAACAUUACAUUUUCACUGUAAAAAUAAUAUUCUAGUAUUUAUAAAUA
rnacentral:tRNA from 1 species